GUGCGUCUCUCUCUCUCUCUUGAACUGGCACCUCCGGCUCAUCUUUAUCCCCCUAAAAAUGUCUUUUUACCUUCCAAUGUAAAAUCUGGUUCCAGUUGAGAACCACUGGCUUAGAUGACACCUAAAAUCUCAGUGUUGUGACAUAGCCAUCUUCUGUAUCUACUUUAUUUAAUUAUCUGCUGUAGAUUCAACACUGCUUCAGUGUUAGUUUUUAACACCAGCGAGUGAGAACCAUAUAAACACCAGGAGUGUACAUUUAACACUGAGGAUUUUGCUGUGUAGAGAUGCCUUUUCAAGGUGGGUCACCUUUUAACAAUGUUGCAAAUUGGUCUGACUUUGUCAAAAAAUUAUGUAGCAUUGACCUUUAAACUUAAACGUAAUAUCUUUUAACAUAACACACACACACACACACAUAAUUAACUAGGCUAAAUUAUUAAAUUGCAAAAUGAUUUAUCUUUUUAAAAAAUAUACUUUGGAAGAUCAGUUGUAAAGCCCUUUCCCUGUCAACUUUAUGUUAUUUAUUGACAUUAUUUCAUUAUUAUUUUAAUUCCUAUUAUUCAUUUAUUUCUUUUAGCUUUUUUCCAUGUUCUUUUUUUCUUCUUUGGUGAUUUCAUCAUGGAGGUUGUUUGUUUCUUUAAUUAAUCCAUUAAAUGUAACUAAAUUUGGUAAUUAAUUAUUUAAUUCAUAUAAUCAAACAAGCUUAAAGUAGUUAAGGGAACUGUGGUUUUGAAGAAAAAACAAAAUCACCAUCUCUGCUCUGAGUUUCAAGACAUGCGCACUAGCUGCGACAUCUUGUGAUGACACUUGGCGGGCUUUUGGAGCUGCUAGAUUAACUGCCAGAACAGCAGAAGCUUGCUACCACAGUCACCUAUUUUGGACAGGCAGGGGGUCUGACUGUAAAAGAAACUGGAGAAUAAUGCCAAAACUAAUGACGAACCAACUGGCGAAGCAAAUUAACUGGCGUGGAGUGAAUGGGAAGAAUGGCUUUGAAUGGCACUUGCCACUUGCCAUUAAAGAUGUUGUCCUCAAAUCUGCAAAGAAAUGCAAGUACUGCUGGUGCAUCGGAUGCAAGUUCAUAAAAAGAUGGCUGCAGCUUGCAUCUGACAGAGAUGGGGGAAGAAGAGAGUGGGCCUGAGUUACCAUUCAGGUCUUCAGUCUGAGAUCUAUCUGACUAACUAACCAUAUGUGUCAUUGUCUGUGCCCCCUCUUAUCUCUCUCUUUCUGUCAAUUUGUCCCUCUUUUAGGGUACACUUACUUGAGGAAAGU